UACGGGGGGGGGUAAGCGUUGUUCGGAAUUACUGGGCGUAAAGGGCUCGUAGGCGGCCAACUAAGUCAGACGUGAAAUCCCUCAGCUUAACUGGGGAACUGCGUCUGAUACUGGAUGGCUUGGAUUCGGGAGAGGAAUGCGGAAUUCCAGGUGUAGCGGUGAAAUGCGUAGAUAUCUGGAGGAACACCGGUGGCGAAGGCGGCAUUCUGGACCGACAUUGACGCUGAGGAGCGAAAGCCAGGGAGCAAACGGG
rnacentral:rRNA from 1 species